UACGAAGGGGGCUAGCGUUGUUCGGAAUCACUGGGCGUAAAGGGCGCGUAGGCGGCCGAUCAAGUCGGGGGUGAAAGCCUGUGGCUCAACCACAGAAUUGCCUUCGAUACUGGUUGGCUUGAGACCGGAAGAGGUAAGUGGAACUGCGAGUGUAGAGGUGAAAUUCGUAGAUAUUCGCAAGAACACCAGUGGCGAAGGCGGCUUACUGGUCCGGUUCUGACGCUGAGGCGCGAAAGCGUGGGGAGCAAACAGGG
rnacentral:rRNA from 1 species